rnacentral:rRNA from 1 species
GGAGAUAGCUGGUUCUCCCCGAAAUAGCUUUAGGGCUAGCCUCAUGGCGAGAGUACAGGCGGUAGAGCACUGAACGGGGUAGGGGCCUAUCCGGCUACUGAACCUAAUCAAACUGCGAAUGGCUGUACUUAUCCAUGGGAGUCAGACUGUGAGUAAUAAGGCCCAUAGUCAAGAGGGAAACAGCCCAGACCAACAGCUAAGGUCCCCAAUGCCGUACUAAGUGGCGAAGGAUGUGGAAUUUCGAAAACAACCAGGAUGUUGGCUCAGAAGCAGCCACCAUUAAAAGAGUGCGUAAUAGCUCACUGGUCGAGAGACUCUGCGCCGAAGAUGUCCGGGGCUAAAGUACGGAACCGAAGCUUUGGCAAUUGACGUUAGUCAAUUGGGUAGGGGAGCGUUCCUGCAUGGGAGAAGCCUGACCGGAAGGACAGGUGGACAGGCAGGAAGAGAGAAUGCCGGUAUGAGUAGCGAAAAGAAGGGUGAGAAUCCCUUCCACCGAAAGCCUAAGGGUUCCUGGGCAACGAUCGUCGUCCCAGGGUAAGUCGGGACCUAAUCCGAGGCGGAGACGCGUAGGAGAUGGACAACAGGUUGAAAUUCCUGUACUGGCUGAGGCCGUUUGAGCGAAGGAGUGACACAGGAAGGAAGGCGCGCGUGCGAUUGGAAGAGCACGUCCAAGCAGGUAGGUUGGGAGACAGGCAAAUCCGUUUCCCAUGAGGCCGAGAUGCGAUGGGGAGCUUCUGGAGACAGAAGCGAAGGGGCUGGCACUAAACUGUCGAGAAAAGCUUCUAGUGAGGACUCAGGCACCCGUACCGAAACCGACACAGGUAGGCAGGAUGAGAAUUCUAAGGUGCGCGGGAAAACCCUCGUUAAGGAACUCGGCAAAAUAUAUCCGUAACUUCGGGAAAAGGAUAACCCAGCGUACGUGAAGUGCAGAAACGCAUGGAGCGGAGAUGGGUGGCAGAAGAGAGGCCCAAGCGACUGUUUACCACAAACACAGGCGUCUGCUAAAGCGAAAGCUGAUGUAUAGAUGCUGACACCUGCCCGGUGCUGGAAGGUUAAGAGGAAGUGUUAGCGCAAGCGAAGCAGUGAAUUGAAGCCCCAGUAAACGGCGGCCGUAACUAUAACGGUCCUAAGGUAGCGAAAUUCCUUGUCGGGUAAG